rnacentral:tRNA from 1 species
GCGCCCGUAGCUCAGCCGGAUAGAGCACCGGCCUUCUAAGCCGUAGGUCGCAGGUUCGAAUCCUGCCGGGCGCGCCA